GGACCUCCCAAGACCUGGCAUCUCCAGCGAAUGCGACGCCGGGAACCACCGACCGUGCGUCCUCUCUCCUCGUGCGCUUCGCCCGUCUCCACAGUUGGUGCAGAAACAGUGCAACAGUGUUUACGGGGUGAACUGCUGGAGUUGGCGUUAGAUAGUCGAUGGUCUACUGCCGCCGUGCUCUCUCACUGCCAGUGUCCCACCACCGCCAUGCAUGUUUUGCGGCAAUUGCCGGCUACUAUACUCCUCCGUCUCCAAUCAUCAGGCACCAGCUUGCGACGCAACUUGGAUUCUCUCCUCUCCUCUCCUCUCGUUGCAACAAGGCAGUCCAGUGAAUGAGACGGAUGGCCCCAGCUGUGCCUGUAGCUGAUGCAUGAUGGAGCUGAGCCUGUGGGUGGGAAUCUCUUCUCUGCUGGUGGCCACUCGCCUAGCUCCAAAAACACACACACACACACUCUCUCUCUCUCUCUCUCUCUCUCUCUCUCUCUCUCUAUCUAGUGGGAAGUUUCACAUCACUAGCUCCAUCGCAAUUGGUAUGGGUGGUGCUUCUGCACAAAAGAAAAAAGAUGUGCCUGUCUCACUCCCCAACCAACUUGUGAAUUGUCAUGCAUCGAUCCUAGCUAGAGCAUCUCCGAGAGCAAAAACCCUUGUUACAGUUUUCCAACUCACAUUCUACUAUAUAUUAGGAUGUGUUGGGCACACAUGGAAGUAAGGCAAAAUGAUGCAUCGACAUGUGAUACGUGAGCACGUAUUUCAGAACCCGAUAGGUUGGUUGGAGUGGGCUUCUUAAAAUUAUUACUCCGAAGCGUGCAAUUGAGAUUGUAGUAUUAUAAUACCCACGUAUUUGUAAAUUUGUUAUCGUCGUUGCUUUAAACACCCAUCUAUAGCUCACUCACUGCUGCUGUUACUGGCAUUUCUCCCCUCAUCCCGUUCCUGAAAACGGAUCUGAGGCCGUCGUCUUCCACUGGGUCGCGCUCCUGUUCGCUCCGUCGUCAGAAAUGCAGGCAGCGCCAGCAGGUCUUGCUUCACGCUCCUCGCGGAUGGUGGCCCCUCCGGCCCGCGCCGAUGCAGUUGAAGCUCCUUCCGAAGCACAAAGAUUAAAUAGAGUUUGGAAUGGUCUUUUAGACGCCAUUAGACACAUGCAAGUCUCAGCCGAUGAGUUGAGGAGGUUGACCAGACGCAACCAUGUGCCUGAGUAUGUAGAGUACCUACGCAAAAAUAGAUUAUGAAGCCCAUGUGAGUGCUGUUACUGAAAUUGCACAAGGUCUAGACCACGUGAGCACAGAUUUGGCGGAAGUUCUUAUUGGUCCGCAACCUCUUCUUGAAGAUUAUGAAGCCCUUGGUUUGUACGAUGAUUUCCAAUGCGAUGGUGAAGAUAGCUCUGUGGACUCGGAUGAGAUCAAUGAUCGUCGUCUAUCGCAUAUGAACGAGCGUAUAUGAGAUAUUUGUUUGCGAGAGAGUUCAGUUUGCCAUUGAUGUCUGUAGCUUAUGAAGCCCUUAGUUAGUUGCCACUGUUGUUCCUGGUACUUGUAUGAAUUGGGUUAUGAAAAUGAAGAGUUGUGUUAUGAGUUGUAUUUUGUGAUCAUAUAAUGGCUUCAUGUGAUAAUUCUGCACCUGUUGUCACUGUUGUUAUGAGUUGUAUCUUAUGAAGCCCUUAGUUAGUUGCCA